CUUAUGAAAUACCAGACGAAAUAGAACGAUCUUAGAAAGGAUAUAAUGAAAUUCCUUGAUUGUUUCUUACCAGAUAAAUGAUCCCUUUUAUAUUCCACUGAUAGGGCUAACAGACAAUUAAUUUUUAAUUAUACCAAAACGAAAAUAGAUAUCGAAAUUCUAAAGAAAUAAAAUUCUAAAUAAAUAAACAGAGAGUUUCUUAUUCGAAACGUCCCGUGAUCUUCAACCAAUUCUGCGCUUGAAUAUAAUUACCAGGAGUAAGCGCAAUAGCUUGUUUCCAAUACUCGGCAGCUUGAUUGAACCAAGCCUCCGCAAUUUCAGAAUCUCCCUGUCGAACGGCCUGUUCCCCCGGUCGGAAUAGGUGGUUCAAUUCCUUUCCUUAGAACCGUACUUGAGAGUUUCCCGCCUCAUACGGCUCGGCAAUCAAUUCUUUUGGUGUCCCGGGUUUUUGAAUCUAGUAUAUCGAAUUGAAUGAGAUUUCUCAUAGAUCGAUCUUUAUCUUUAUUCUUUUUUUUGGGGGGUUAACCAAAAGAGGUUAAUUCCAUGAGCAUGAGUUUCAAACUUGACUUUUGAUUAAAUUAAUAAUCAGCUUUGCUUUCAUUUUAUCUUUUCUCCCACCGUCAGAAGAAUAACAUAGAAGCAUUUCCACUAUAGUUUAGAAUUUUCUGAAAGGUAUCUAUCUCGGUUUCAUAUAAAAAUUGAUAUAGAAUCUUUGAAAAAGCCCUUUCUUCCUAAGAAAGAAAAGGCUUACUGUCUUUGGGAUCUGAUGCUACACCGCUGCUCAAUACCUUAGGGGAUCGACUUUAUUACAUAAGUGGAUUCCUUACUUUUAUCUCAUAUCAUGACAUAAAUAAGCAGUUCUUAUUGGAUCGGCAUCGGCCCAAAACCUCGCGAAUUGAUCUUUACGGUGCUUCCUCUAUCAAUUAGAUCCUUUAUCCAUAGAAUAAACUAUCUAGGCAUAUCGAUUUCUUCAUAUUUCGACUUCUAUGAAGUUUCUUUCUUUGCUACAGCUGAUAAAAAUCGUUUUUGCACGAUGCAUAUGUAGAAAGCCUAUUUUUUUUUUUUCGAGUAUUUAUUAGUGUAUUUGCUCUUUACCCCCCCUCCUUUUUUUUUUUUCUUUUACUUUUUUCUUUCUAUAGUAGAGAUAGUCGCACGUAAUGACAGAUCACAGCCAUAUUAUUAAAAGCUUGUGGUAAGAACGGAUUUCGUUCUAGUGCCCGAAAAUAAUAUUCUAAAGCUUUUGUAUGUUCUCCGUUACUUGUGUGGAUAAGGCCUAUGUUAUAGAGUAUAUAGCUUCGAUCGUAAGGAUCAAUUUCUAGUCGCAUAGCUUCAUAAUAAUUCUGUAAAGCUUCCGCAUAAUUGCCUUCAGAUUGAGCUGACAUCCGUUACGGUCGUCAUUCGAUUCAAAGAAUUCUCCGUUUCAAAACCGUACAUGAGAUGAAAAUCUCAUACGGCUCCUCCUUUAUGUGCAUUAUGAGAAUAAUCCAUGAAAUCAAAAAAGAUUGAAAUAUUCUCAUUA
rnacentral:lncRNA from 1 species